AGUAGAAUAGCUGGGUCAAAUGGUAGUUCCAUUCUCAUUUUUUAGAAGAAUCUUCAUACUGCUUUCCAUAUUGGCUGCACCAGUUUGCAGUCCCGCCUGCAAU
rnacentral:pre_miRNA from 1 species